AUGCCGACCUCAGCCUGGCCCGUGACCCGUAACUUUGUUGGAAAGCAUCCCUGAAACUAUGAGGGCUCCCCUGGUUUUUAUCAUUACUUUAAGUCUCGUGCCGUCGCGGAUUAUGCCAAGAAACCAUUCUACUUCUUUUAAACCAGGGAACCCCCGGACCUUCGAUCCCCUUUAACCGAGAAGAAUCUCCUGAGAUCGAUCCAUGGAGGCAGAGCAAGCCAAGGGUAGAGAAACGAGCUACGGUUGUGCUGCUGCUAAAAUCUAGAAGAAUCGACAGAUUGAUGGGAAUCUUUAGGGCCAAACUUUUGGCUGUGGCAGAAGAACUUGGUCAUGAGAUACGCAUAUUCACAAACUCAGCAAAUUCUGCAGCAUCGAAAGAAAUAUCUGCUUCUUCAAGUGAGGAACCGGACCAUUUCUAUGAUCUUACUCCUGAAGAUUAUUAUCGAAUCAUGUCAGACAGAAUACGAGCCCAAUCCCAAAUUCUAAAGACCCGUAAAAUGCGGGAAGCAGAGGCAGCAGCCCGCAGGGCAAGGAUCACUAAGGUACUUGUCCAUACAAGGACUUGUAAAAGAUGAGUAUCCCAAUUAUGUUUCUUCUUUCUUUCUUUGUCAAUUAACACUAGCUUAUACUGCCUAACUUUUGUCAUAUUUUCCUGAAAUUUAUAUUGCUUCUCCAGCUCAUUUCUGCAUGUGCCUUUUGUUUCCCAGGAUUUUGUAUCUUUUAAAACAUAAAUACACCCUUAUUAAUAAAAAGGGCUAGCUUUAUAAAUGGCAUCCUCGUCAACAUAAUCAUGCACUGGAAAUCGAGACUUUGUAUUCAAGAUGAUUUCGGAUGUUUAGCCCUUGAAUAAUGAGUCUUGUUAAGAAAAGUGGUGGUGGACUGAAGUAUUCGAUAUGGAAUAUCAAGUUUAUAUAACAACUUUAAUUGCUCGGUAUGAGGAUGAAAAUGAACAAAGGGACCUUUGGAGCCAAUGCCAGGUGAAUAUUUUUAGUGAAGUUGCUCAAUCCUACUUAUUGGAGAAGUGAAACAGAUGACUGAUUUAAUAGAACAUAACAACAAAAGGAGAAUGAAUUUUAAGAAUACGAUCACAGAACAGUUGUGAACUCUGAGGAAGAUUCAUUUGAAUCAAAAGUCUUGAAUAUGUCUUAUAUUUAUGAAGCUACUUAUUUUCUAUCUUCAUACUCAUUGUAGAUUGUCAGAAACAUAAUUUGAGAUGGAGAACAAUUAAAGAGGAAGUGUUUUGAAUGGAAGAUCAAUGUCUUUAGCAUCAAUAGAUACCGCAACAAUCACCCCCACUCUACAGGCCUUCGGGACUUCUGAAUGAUUUUGAAGCAUGGAGCAAAGCUAUCUAAAUCAAUUACUAGAUACCACUCCUCCAAAGGAGCGAAUCAAAGACACUUCAAAGGAUUUCUAUUCAGCCGGCUUUGCUCCUGGAGCUAUAGUUUACUUUUCUUAUGACCUGCCAAAAGAUAAAGAGUCUGAUAGUGCAGUUGCAAAGACAGGGCCUUACCUUCGUGAUGAUAUCUUGUCUUUGAAUGGAUUGGAUUUUACUUCUGAAAAGGCGGAUCCUGUCACUUCUGAACCAGAACCUCCAGCAGUGGGGACGUCCCCUGCUGUACCUGAUCCUAAGCCACCUGAGAAGAAGCCGGCUAAACCAAAGUGGCUUAAAUUGUGAAAGAUUGAAAGGUGAGGUGAUCCUGGAUGUGACGAGGAAUUGAUUUAACUGUGACUGAUGUAGAGUUGGUUCCAAAAGGUAACAAAGAAUUGGUACUUCAGGGCAAUGUAUAUUAAGAGAUGACAAAAAUCAAGGUAUAUUACGAGUUUCCAUCUAAAUUCACCGUCAUGGGUGGUGCUGCACUUAAACAAGUUCAGGAGGAACUUUCGCAGGGUGCUUGCUUCAGAAUAAUGUUACAACACGACUCAUUUAAUGUUGUAUGGAUGAACUGUAAUUUUACGAGAAGAUGUCUUAGGACUUAAUCUGUUCCUAGUGGAAAAUGCUUCUCCUUGUCAUUUUGUUCCUAUGCCGAUAUUAUGCAAGCUAGAUUCUCAAGGAUACUGAAUCUUUUAACAUGUUUCACUAGUUAUUGUGCUAAAAAAUGUUCAAAUGUUGAAAAUAAAGCAAAAAUAUUUGAAAUCCUGUCAGAGAAUGAGAAUAAGUGUGGAUUAUGUGCA